rnacentral:lncRNA from 1 species
CGUCAGCGGAAACUAAAUCGAAAGUUGAAAAGUCGCACUACAAUCGCAGAAGCUCCUGUUGUCAGAAGUUUAUGACAAGUGUAAAGAUGUCGAUCCCGUAGUUUGUCACUGUUAUUCUGAUAUUCUGUUUCACCCUGUCGACCUUUCCUACCAGUAAUGGAGAACGUAAGUGACCUACAAAACUCAAAUAAAAACAAGUGACACGUGUGUGCUGGUGUGUGACAAAUAAAAUUUGUUGUCACCUGAUGAUACAUGGUCAUCAUAAGUUAUUUAUUAUGUAAUUUUAACCUUGAAUCACACUUGUGUACACAGCAAUGAACAAUUCUGCUAAUGCUCAGUCCAGGAAUAUCCACUUUCUGCUAGAAAAUCAUAACAACUCUUUAGGGGGAAAUCGUUUAGAAAUUACAUAAAUUUACAAACAUCUACAAAAAAAAAAAUCUAGUUUGUUGGCACCAAAGAGUUGUUCUUACCUGGGACAGUGGUGUAACAGCGCAACAAAAUAUAGAACGAACUAAUCAAAAACAUUUAAAGGCAAACAAGAAUGAGAAACAUUAAAAUAUAUGACUUCCACUCAAUUACAGGCUCCUUACUUGGGACAGGCACUGCCUCACAUAUACAAUGUAGAAUGUGGUAAGGUUAAACUAGUUUGAAGGUGCUAACCCUCCCCUAAGCAGGGACAGCUAGUCGUGUAACAGUACAACAUACAUGACAUAAGAACAAAUUAAAUUAUGUUAUGCGUUUAUUUUUCUGCUAGAGGUAUAGAGGGAGGGUUGAGAUCUCAUAAAUAUGUAACUCCACCGCAUUUUUGCGCCUGUCCCAAGUCAAGAGCCUCUGGUCUUUGUUAGUCUUGUAUUAUUUUAAUUUUAGUUUCUGGUGUACAAUGGAAAUUGUAUGGGGUUCAUUAUCACUGAACUAGUAUAUAUUUUUAGGGGCCAGCUUGAGACGCCUGUGGUUUGGGAAUUUCUCGCUACAUUGAAGACCUGUUCGUUGACCUUCUGCUGUUGUUUUUUUUAUGGUCGGGUAGUUGUCUCUUCGACACAUUCCCCAUUUUCAUUCUCAAUUUUUAAAAAAUCAAGGGCUCAACUCAUUAGAUGGAUACAAACAGAAAUACAUCUGACAAAAUACAGAGAGGACAUGGUAGAAUACUUAAACAUCCCCACAGCAAAAAUUACUAUCAGCUAGUUUACAACAAUUAUUGAUAAAAAUCAUGCAUCUAAGACUUAAAUGUUAAUUGUUACACAUCAUGCACAUCACCCUUUCAAUGGAUUUACACAUGUAGUGUAAAGAGGUCAUAAACAGUCAAAGAAAACAUGACCUUGUGCAAUGCCACGAUACAUGUAUUGGAGCCUCAGCCUGAAGUACAUAUGUUUAAUUUCCAUUUGUGAAUCUUGAAAUUAGGUAAUUUUUAACAAGUCAGUAAAAGUAGAAUUGAGUUGCUGCUAUGUAGGCAAUGGUAGAGUUACAAUGAGAACAGUGUUCUCUGCAAAUAUAUUUCAUUUAGCAUCCUAGGAAAAACAGGCAAAUUUAAAAUACCAUCUUGUUUCUAAAAAUAAACUUAAGAAUCACAGCCAUAAGAUAAUAAAAAAAAAUUAAAAACAAAGUUCUUAUUUAUAACAAUUUACAAAUAUCUAAUAUGAAUGACCUGAACCAAAGAGCACUACAAGAAUGUGUCAGGGUUAACCACAAUUGUGAGAACUCAACCCUUCCCUAACCUCAGAUAGUGGUGUAACAGCAGUGCGACACUACAUUAUUAUAAGAGCAAACUUAAACUCAGUAGCAAUCCACUUAACUCAAAAGAUCAGUAAGACAAUGUAAGAAGCACAAAACAACCAAUGAAAAACAUUUAAAGCAAUACACUGAAAUGAGAGUACUCACAGCUUUUGACGACGAUAAUUUUUUUUAGCUACCUUAACUACUCAUGAGGGUUUGUGCUCUGACUGAUUCCUUUUUGGGCAUUAGAAUAAUUUAUUUUGACCUUAUGUUAAAAUAAAAUAUAAUUUGAGUGACAUAAACAUAAAAUAAGUAUUGUAAAAACAAAGUGAAAUGUACAAUAAACAUACAGUUUAUUAUUCAUUAUAACAUGAAUCCCAGAAAAAAAUCAAUGAGUGUCUUGUUGUCAAUUGAGAUGGUAAAUGCCUUUUUCCUAUGGGUCUGCAUCAUUCAGUCUGGUUUAGCAUAUUUAGAGAUGUCUGAUAGGCAAUCAUACCACACUUUCUUAUUUGUAUAAGUAUGGAUAUAGGAAGAUGUGGUGUGAGUGCCAAUGAGACAACUCUCCAUCCAAAUAACAAUUUGAAAGUAAACCAUUAUAGGUCAAUGUACGGCCUUCAACAAGGAGCCUUGGCUCACGAUUCACUUAAUGACUUUUGAGCUGCACCGUGAAAAAGUUUAAUAAUUGAAUAACUUUAAUAAUAGUAAGCCUAGAAUCUAGUCUUGUAUAAACAUGAAGAAUUAUUUUAAUCUUGAAUAAUUUUGAAUUCUGUAAAAUUGAUAAGAAACAUAUGAUGAAAAUUAACCCAAUUUAAGAGGGUUUGUCAUGCUAGGGGGCUAGUUAUAUAAAAAAGAAGAUGUAUGAUUGCCUAUGAGCUAUUAAGUUAAGUUGUAAAUUCAGAAAUUAUUGCGUACAUAUAUCAUGUAUAUUAUUGUGAUUUUUCUAAAAAUGGACAAGAAUGCGAGUUUAAUUAAUGCAAUUUAUGAACCAUAUACAUUCAGAUCUAUGUUUUAUUUAUUAAAAUGGGAGUUCUUAUUAUUGUGAUACUCACCUAUUUGCAUUAUUCGCAUUAAUAAAAACCUCACAAUAAUUUCUGAAUUUACAUGUACAGUAGUUCAUACUGAACAUCAGUGAAAGUAAAUGAACAUUAAUUCUGUGUGCAUGGCUAACCCUCUUAUGUUAAGUUAGUUUUCAUAAUGCAUUUUUUACCAAUUUUCUAGAAUUCAAAAUUAUUCCAGAUUCAAAUUAUUUCUUGUUUAUCAUGUUUAUAAGACAACUUCAUAAUCAGUGUGUGUCGUAUUUUUUUUUAAUAUAUAUGAUGGAUGAAUUUCACUCAGUCAUUUGACCAAUUUUAAUGUAUACAUGGUAUUUGAGUAUAUUCCUCAUAUCUUUGAAAUUUUCGGAAAAGAAGUGCUGAUUGAAUAUUUUUAAAGAGUUAUUUCCCUUGGAAAUAUUACAAUGGAAAUUUCAUUGCAUAUAUAGCUGACCGUGCAAGGGCUGUAUAGCCAAUCAAGGUUGUUAAACACUUCCAUCAACAUCAUUGCAUAUUCUCUGAACUCUUCAUCAUUUUCAUCUGGUAAUUUCUGUCAGAUAUAAAUGAAAAGUUUUGUAGAAAAAUAUUUUAUUUUUUUUUAAGAUAAAUACCGGUAUGUGCAAUGGAGUGGGGACAUCAGAACUCUGAUUUCUAUUCAUGUACUAUGUAAAUUAUGCUUAAAUAUAGUAUGAUCAAUUUGUUUCUACUAUAUUGAUUGCUGGAGUUGAAACUUUACUCUCUUUUAUAUAGAAAUGAGAGUACAUGUACCUCCCAAUUUUGAUCUAUUCCCCUGAAAACAUUGUCAAAGCCUGUGCAAGUUAUAAAAACUUUUCAGAUCUAUGUCUAAGCAACAAAUCAUUCAUUGCUUUCUCUUUAACACAAGUCAUGAAAGUUGUGUGUGUGGGCGUGCAUUAAAUUUUGUUAAUACAUUUGAUAUACAGAUAUAAAUGGCUUUAGCUUAAGAUUCCCAAUAAUCAUUUGUCAAUAAGAGCUAAUGGUAUUCAACCAAUUUUAUGAACUGAGCAGAUGAAAUAAAUGAAAUUAAGGUUGUCAUGGUUAUAGGAAUACAUUGUAGGUGUCUGUGGCAUCCUUCAUAGACUAAUUCAAAUAACACCAUUUACCCUAGUUAACUUAAUUUUUAGAAUGUCCUAUUAAAAUUUUGUCUUUUAAUGAUGAUAUUGAAAUAAUUGAAUAUAUAUAUAACAACUUGGAAUUAUUUUUAAUUAUGGAAUUAGCAUAAUUUCUUGUGCUUGAAAUUUUUAAUAAAUUCCAUGUUUAUUCUGUACUUUAAUGUUCUAUGCUGCGCACAACGCUACUUAUUCAUGUUAUUACAGAAGAUAGUACAUUUUCAAUAAAAUGUACUGUGCCGCGCACAACACUAUCUAUACAAAAUACAUUGUAUGGAAAGUGUUAUGAACUUCUCAAAACAAAAAAGACAUGGAAUUUAAUAAAAAUUUCAAGCACAAGAAAUUCCAAAUGCAAAUUCCAAAAUUAAAAAUACUUUAAAUAAUAGACUGAUAUAUAUAGUUUUAGCCUAAAUAAAUGAGCUGUGUUACUAAGGAUAAAAAUCGACUUUAUGCAAAUGAAUAUCAAUAAGUCUGUUCAGGGUGAAAUAUCUCUACAAAAUAUGUAACUGUUUAAGAUUUGAGUUGAUACAUGUAUAUAUAAGAAACAUACUAAACAGAUAAAGCUUCACCUUUCAUUUCACAUUUGAUUGUUCCAAAAGUCUUCUACAUGUACAUGUAUGAAGGGGCUUAAAAACAUGAAAUCUUGAGGUCCCGAAUUUGAAGAAAUUUAAAUCCCAAAAUUCGAAAAAAGAAUUCCCGGAUCCUGAAACCCAGAGCUUAAAACACCUGAUCCUGAUGUCCAGAAAAAGGUCCUGCCCCCUCAUGUAUAUCUGCACUUUCAUAAGGUUGAUUUCUAUCAAAGACAGCUCAUAUAUGUUAAUAACAGAUACUUAAGGAAAAUUACAAAUUCUUCCUUGUAUCAUAACAAUACAUGAUAUAAAGUUCAAAGUAUUGAUCAAUAUUUGUUGUAUAUUCUGACUGCAUUUAUUUAUUAAAUUUAUCAUCUUCAUCCUCAUCAGCCUGGAAGAUGCUGUCUGAAACAGGAAACUCAAUGAUUGAAUUUAAAUCUAUUUUUAUUCAUUUACGAUUGAUUGAUGAACAUGAUGUAUCAUAUUUAAAAAGUAAGAUCACAAAAAUACUGAACUUAGAGGAAAAUCAAUUGGGAAAGUCCAUAAACACAUGGCAAAAUCAAAUAAGAAAAUGCAUCAAAAAACGAUUGGACAAGAACUGUCAUAAACCUUUAAUCCAAUUUAAAAAAAAUAUGCAUUUAAAUUUUGAAUUUUUUUUGCAGCAUAAGCAAUGAUUGCUUUAUUUUUUUUUAUUUUUUUUUUUUUUUUUUUUUUAUCAAUUUCAAAUCCCAUUAAAAAUAUGCAAAAUUUGUUUCAUAAUAUUAUUUUAUUUGGUUAACAUUUUAUUAAACUUGAUAAGCAGCAAAGAAAAUAUAAAUUACAUCAUUACUGUCAUUUAGUAAAACAAAAUUUUCGUCAUCAGUCAUUUGACAAUCUUAAAAUAAAUAAAAAAAGUUCUUUCCAGAUACAUGUACGGGUAAUAAUUAUGAAUCUAUAAAUUUGAUAUUGACUUUUUUUUUCAAACAUUCUAAGUUUCAUUGUAAAAAAUCCUAGAAUUGACUUAGUGGCAAAAUUAUUUUUUUUCAACCAAAACUGUAAUACAUUUGAUUACAUGGGUUUAAAUAAUUAUCUUCUGAGUAAAGACACAUAAAUUUUAGUUUUGAAAAACUUUAAGGAACUUGAUUUGAAAAUUAAGUUGUAAAAACUGAAAACAUUUCCAAUGUAAUAAUAAAAGUUCACAGUGCACUCUUUAUAUAUGUACAUUAUACAACAUUUAUAGUGUUAAGUUUAUAAGUAUGUCUGCCUUAGACUUGUAGGACAUCAGAUAAUUAAUUACAAAGUUGGUGACGUGAGACCUUCAACUUAAGAAGAUUGAGUCAUGUGAUGUUAUUACUUCGAUUUAACAGCAAUCAAUGUUGACUAAAUCAUUCUAUUUGUGUGAGUUACAGCUAAUUUCCUAAUGCUUGUAGAGUAAAACUUUGGUUGUCUAGCUUGCUUUGUAUAAAUGAUACCUCAAGCUUUGUAAUUUAGAUCGAGAUCUUCAAACAAUAUAUAUAUAUAGGCAUAAUUAAACCUGUAUAUAUUUAUAUUUUAUUGGACUUUAUUUCAAUUACAAUUGUACAAUAUACUGUACAAACAAAGCUAGCAAGCUAACCAAAGUCUUGCUCUACAUGGGUUAGUGAAUUAGCUGUAAAGGCGAAAUUAUGUUAUUUUUUCCAGAGGAAGUCAAAACUGCUGAUUUGUAAGCCUUCUACCAUCCCUCAAGUUGUUAAUAAUUCAAAUCAUCAUUUUUUUCAAAGUUUCAACCCCUCAGAAAAAUUGUCAGUUUUCAUUUUUUGUUAACCUGAUGUCACCAUUAAUUAUGUUUUUGUGUCACUGAUGAAGGUAAUUUUUUAUACAUGUAAAUCAAAGAACUGGUGCAGGUGUAAUCCUGCUUAGUACUUCAGCCUAGUACUAAGAAGAGUUCAUAUUUGCCACUGAAAGGUUACUUUUAAAAUAAAACAACCAAUUUCCAGUCAAAAACUGACUUAUCAUGCUUAUGAGACACUAUCUAUCUACUGUUUUCCUUAUAAUUAUUUUCAAGUUUUAGGUAGAAUUAGGAAGCUUGAUAAUAACCAACUAACAUUGACUAAUAAAAUCAAAAUUUUCUUCAUUCGGUUACAUGUAUUUUAUUAACAAAAAGUAGUUGAACUCUAAGACGACUAUUAUGCAAGGAUUAGUAAUGAUUUUAUGAUGAUUUAGGUACAAUUGUAGAACUACUCACUAGAGAUAAAAUUAUUUUGUGCAAUUUUCAUAAAAAGUAACUCGAGCAGAACUUUAUCAAUAAUCUUUUGAAAUCCGUAUCCUGUUGAUAGUUUCACAAUAUUGUCAUUGAAUUAAUGCUUGUAUGGUAUAUCUAAAAUAAUAUCUUUUAUAUUGAUAUUAUCCUUUUACUGAACAGAUCUUUUUAGGGAAAAAUGAUUGAGUUUAUUCAUUAGUAGAAUCAUACAUUUUGAAAAUUUUGUGAAGCAAGAUAAUCUUAAUUUUUUCGAACUAUCUGAUUGAUAGCAUAUCUGACAUGUACAUAUUGUUUUUGUUGGAAGGUUUUUAAUAUUCAAGGAAAUAGACAUUAAAAAAUAUGAAAAUAAAAACAACAACUUUAGAAUCUAUUCUAAGUAUUUUGUUUUACUUGACUUGAUAAGGAAAUUGCAUUAUUAGUUGAUAGUAGAUCUGUGAAAAUCUAAAAGUCUUUUUAAAACUUUGGGUGCAGUGGCGGAUCGGGGUUCGGGGGGUUGGAACCCCCUUUUUUUUGGCUGAUCAAUGCAUUUGAAUGGGAGCAUAUAGUUGGAACCCCCCUUUUACUCUGUGUUGGGAACCCCCCCUUUUUAAAAUGGCUGGAUCCGCCAGUGGGGUGAAAUUGAGCUUGUAUCUAUAUAGUAUACUGUAGAUUCAUUUAUAUUCUGGAUUCAAAUUUUCCUUGAUAUAUAAUUCCUAAAAGACUGUAUAACAUGCUGUCAGAAAGAAAAUAUAUACUUCAUGUAACAUUUUAAAUGAUGGUUAACCUAUAUAUAUAUACCCACUAAAUCAAUGAAAUGAAAUUGGAUCCACGGUACAUACUGUCCUUGGUUGAAAACACUAUGUUGACCUCUAGAUGUCCUUCAGGUUUUUUCUGUGUUAUUUGGUCUUCUGUAAGAUUUCAAGGUCGUAGCAGGAAUUUACAAUCAUACUCAACUUUAACAGUUACAAUUAAAACAGAACAUCCACUAUAACAAUGCUUAUUUUUUUUCAAUUGGGGGAAGGGGGAGGGAGGGGUGGUGGUCCCGGGAUUUUUAGGAACCACUCCAUGCCUUUAUUUCACAUAUUCAGAGCUUGUGGUAUUGUUGUCACACAGUCCAUUACAGUCUUCUGAAUGUCAUAUGAUUUAUAAUAAUUGCAUAUAUAUGGUCAGAUCAUAUGUUUUUGUACAUCAUAUGAAUUGGUUAUCAUGGUUAUAUAUAGAUACAAGAAGAUGUGGUAUGAGUGCCAAUGAGACAUGCAUGCUUUUUCAAUGAAAAUUGUGAUGUCACAUUGCAUUCUUUUAAGUGUGAAAAAACUAUGAAAGGAGGAUACUGAAAGCCAUAUGAUCAGGAAGUUUAAAUGCUGUCAUGCUAAUUUUCAAACAUUUUUUCUAUUAUUAAAAAAUUAAACCGGAAAUGACUAGUUUAUACAUGAUCUUGCAGCAGUUAAUAGAUUUUUUUUUUAAAAUAAUGAUACAAUGUACUUGUAUACAAGUCUAAGAUUACAUUGUAUAAUUAUUAAACAUUGUAUUUAUCACCUUGUUUAGCAUAUUUAUCUACGAAAGGAUAAAUCAAUUUCAUAUUUCAUACUGAUCUAUUAUUGUAUAUGGUUGUUUCUAAGAGUACUAUGAAUACAUGUUUACUUUUAUCUCAAAAUUAGAAAUAUUUUUAUUUGCCCAAACCCUACCCAAAGGUUGGGACAGGGGGUAGGUAGGUACAUUGUGUAGACAGGCAUUUUUUUUUUCAGCAAAGAGAAAUUGAAGUACAAGAUGUUAUAUAGUUUUCAUGUCAGAAAAAUAAAAAAAUAAUAAUAAAGUAAUAAGAUUUUGAGUAGGCAGCUAUUUUCUGGGUAGGUAGGGUGAGGGCAAACAGACUUGUUAUAUCUGAUUACUUUAAUAAUUUAACAUUUACCUUCACUUGACUGUAAGUGUUGCUCUUGUAAUUUGUUUUAUCAAACCAAAAUAUUCAACUGGUCAGAAAUAUUACUACUCAUGAUACUGAAGCUUUGAAAGUUCAAGGUGAUGAAAUAAAGCAUUCUACAAAUUGAACAACGCUGGGAUUCAAAAUAGAUGUUUGUGUUCCUGUUGCUUGUAGGAAAUUAAAUGAAAUCUUUCGAAAAUAAGUUUACAUCAUGUACAUGUAUUUCUUCAUUUCUCAAUCAUGAAACAUUUUCUAAAACGUUUUGGGAUCAUCAAAUCAAAAUAGAUAACUUUUGAAUACCUAUUAUAGGUCUGUUUAGAAGUACGAAAGUUCUAAAUUUUCCCAUUAGAAUCAGAAUAAAUCUAUCAUGCCAUGCCCUCUAUGUUCAUUUUAUCAUGGGUAGUCAUUAUAUUUGUCAACAUUUCACAUCUGGACAACAAUCGUUAUAAAGAUAUUAAUUCCACCAUCUUUUUUAUUUGAUUUACCGAUGAUCAUGAUCUUUCUGUAUUUUCAGCUGUUAACUGUGAAACACAAAACAAAACAACCUGCUGUGAUUACGCAGAAUGUGCAUACAUCAACUGCACAAAUGCUACUGAAGUUACAACUUUCCAUGAAGGUAAGUCCACAUUACACAGAGGCAGAUUUAGAGGUGGUGGGGGACCUGGACCCCUCUUUUGUUGGGGAAAAAUGGGUUGAUUAUACAGAGAAUCACUGAAGCCUGAGCACCCUAUAUGGCAGUCAGUGCCCCGUUUUGAAUAUUUCUGGAUCUGCCACUGUUACAUGUACCACGAAAAGAACAGAAUUUGGGUCUUGGGGAAAGGUGGGUCAUUAACUUUAAACAGGUCUGAUGUUUAAACCCAAAUCUAUUAAAAAAUAACAUUGAGUUUAGAAUUAACACUCAAACUUUGCAUAUGAAAAAGAAGAUGUGGUUUCAUUGCCAAUAAGACGACUCUUCACAAGAGAUCAAAUGACACAGAAAUUAACAAUUAUAGAUCACUGUACAGCCUUCAACAAUGAGCAAAACCCACACUUUAAAGUCAGCUAUAGAAGCUAGGCCACAAAAUGACAAAUGUAUGUUGUGUUAUGAAAAUUAUAUUUUGAAAUGAAAACUGCUUACACAAUGUGUUCUUAUUGGUCAAGUUUAUAAGUCAUCAAAGACGCUGACAUGGCUGAAGGGAAUUAGAAUUCAAAGGUUGUCAUUGCUCUGUCAAUCAAUCCAUUGUUUGCGUUUUUUUCUUCAUCAAACUUUAUCCACUGCCUGGCAAUAGAGAAUUCUCAAAUCUUAUCAAAAAGCAUUAGUGACUGUUUUUGGGUUGAUGUUUAGAUAAUCAAUAACUGAAGAUAGUUCAUCCUAUAAUUAAUAAUUGUAUAUUUGUAUUUAUAAAAUACAUCUGAACUUCCUUUAACUUUUUAAAGACUGUCCAAGUUCAUAUUGAUAUCACUAUAAAGGAGAAUUAUCUUUAACUAAAGGAAAUAAAAAGGACUUAAAAGAUUUCCCAAUUUACAUACAUCUUCCACUCGAACGAUGUUAACAUAUAUAGAUACAAGAAGAUGUGGUAUGAGUGCCAAUGAGACAACUUAUCUAUAAGAGGGAAUUCUAUCAUGUCAUAAAAUAUCUGUUUCCCUGCACUGUCAAGUGACUGCCUAAUUCAUAAAACACAUGUUACUUGCAUGACAGUAUUAAUAUCAUUAUCAAUUUAUUAUCAACAGGAAUAUUUUUCUGAAACAGUAAUUCCAUAUCUGUUACUGUCAUGGAAUAUGCUAAAAUGAGGAAUAAGUUUGUAAUUCAAAUUUUAUUAAUGCAGAGUAAAAAAAAAUAAAAAUUUAGAAUUAGAGACAUGGACUCAUGAGCAAACUUUUACAGCUCUGGCCAUAACAUCAACUCAGUGGCGGAUCCGGGGGGUUUCUGGGGGUUGGAACCCCCCCUUUGUUUUGGCCGAUCAAUGCAUUUGAAUGGGUGUAUAUAGUUUGAACCCCCCUUUACAGUUUUUAUUGGCAUGCCUAUGACAAUCACAUUGUGACAUAUGUCUUAGAUAAAGAUUGGAAAUUAUGAAAUCAAAUAAUUGGUUAUCUGCUUGUUUUCAAGAAAUUUUGAUUUGAAUUAUGUUAAUUUUUUGGGGAAUUUUCUUAAAACUUUUCAAAAAGGAAAAGUUGUACAUAUGCAUUAAAUAGUCAAAUUUAGUUAUGGCCAAAUCUCUUUAUACAAGUAUACCUGCAGGAAACCAACAAAUAGUUUUGGAUUUGCCAUUUCAAAAUAUAAUGCAUUUUGGGUAAUAAUUUUAAAACUGUAUGCCAAAAUGUUGUGAUUGGUUAGAAUCACUCUUAACAAUGCAAAUUCAUCCAAUGAUAAUUCAGAUUCUAAAAUGUUCAAUUGAAAGGCUAAUGGAUAAUUUGAGUUUCUGUUUAAUUUGUUUUUCAGGUUGUCAUGCCAAAGUCAACUUAACUAAACUAGAUGGUGUUUGCAAGAACAACAUCUUUGAUACUAUUUGUAAGUUGUUAUAUUGAACAAUACAAGUUCUUCACUGCAUAAUAAAAAAGAUUUAAAUGUAUAUUAAGCAUUUGUAUCUACACAAAACAUCAGUUUAGAGAAAAUGAAAUUUCAUAAUAGAACAAAAAUGGCCACAACAAUAAAAUGUGCUCAAAAUGGUGUUAAACACCCAUCAAUAAGCUAGUCAUGUUUUGCAAUGAAGAAUCAAAGAAAAGAGUGGAAAACGAUACCAGAGAAAUGAGAGAGACAUACAAACUCAAAUAAAAAAACCAACAGACAAGCUAAGGCUAAAAAAGAAAAAGACAAACAGACAAACAAUUGUCCACAAAACACAACAUAGAAAAAUAAAGAGUAA